rnacentral:lncRNA from 1 species
GGAUGGAUAGAGAGCAUGUCUUUAAAGCGCACCUCACCACACAGGCUCCCGGCACCCCUGGUUGGGAUAAUGCCCCCCUCUGCUCCCACACCUCUGUAGGAAGCUCUAAAGAAGCAGCGCUGCCCCUGCCUAGCGGAGGAGACUGGGACUCCCCACAUCUCUCUGUGUUCCCAGAUUGAGCCGGGCAAGAUCACAUCUGACAUCUGCACAUCUCAGCGCCCAGCCCCUGCCUGGCUCAGAGUGAAGUGUCUUCCAAUCCAUUGAAAUUUCUAGUCCCGGGGUCUCGAGGACACUAGGGCCACUGUGCAAUGGCAGAAGGAGCAUUGCCAUAGAAGUCAGGGGGCCUGGUUACAAGUCCUGACUUUAGUUGAGGACCUGCCAUAUGACCUUGAGCAAACUGCUGUACUUCUCUGGAUCUCAGUUUCUACAACCUAAUUCACUGGGCCCAGCCUGCAGCCUGCAAGCACCGGAUGAGUGGACGUGGCUGAGCAGCCAUGAGAAAGAUGUGGGGCUCUCCGGUGACUGUAGACCCAGCAUAAAUCAACAGUUCAAGGUGCUCAUCCCCAAAGCCAUGGUGAGACCUUAGCUGCUGUAAUAAAAGUGUAGUGCCAAAGUAAGGGCAAUGACAGUCUUGCUUGGUUUUAUGCUGGAGCUCAACUCUGGGCCACACUCUUUUGUGGGGGGUGGGUGGUAAUUAUCUUUUUUAAACAAGACACUGGCUAUAUACAGUCAAGUGUGCAAGGCUUAAGUAUACAACUCAUGUAAUUUUCCCACAUUUAUAUACCUAUGUAGACAUUCAAAUGAAGAUACUAAACAUUUCCAGCCCCCAAGAAAACUUCCUUAAAUUCCCUCCUGGUCAAUCUCCCUCAAAAGUAACUAUUUAUAAUAUAUAUAAAAUAAUAUAUUUAUAGUACUAUUCUGACCUUUAAGACUGUAGAUUAGUUUUGGCUUUUU